rnacentral:rRNA from 1 species
GACGAACGCUGGCGGCGUGCUUAACACAUGCAAGUCGAACGGAAAGGCUCCAGCUUGCUGGAGUACUCGAGUGGCGAACGGGUGAGUAACACGUGGGUGAUCUGCCCUGCACUUCGGGAUAAGCCUGGGAAACUGGGUCUAAUACCGGAUAGGACCGCACUUUGGUGUGUGUGGUGGAAAGGUUUUUCUGGUGUGGGAUGAGCUCGCGGCCUAUCAGUUUGUUGGUGGGGUAAUGGCCUACCAAGACGGCGACGGGUAGCCGGCCUGAGAGGGUGGACGGUCACAUUGGGACUGAGAUACGGCCCAGACUCCUACGGGAGGCGGCAGUGGGGAAUAUUGCACAAUGGGGGAAACCCUGAUGCAGCGACGCCGCGUGGGGGAUGAAGGCCUUCGGGUUGUAAACUCCUUUCGCUAGGGACGAAGCUUUUUGUGACGGUACCUGGAGAAGAAGCACCGGCUAACUACGUG